rnacentral:rRNA from 1 species
AUGCACGCUGGCGGCGUGCCUAAUACAUUCCAGUCGAGCGAACAGACGAGGAGCUUGCUCCUCUGACGUUAGCGGCGGACGGGUGAGUAACACGUGGAUAACCUACCUAUAAGACUGGGAUAACUUCGGGAAACCGGAGCUAAUACCGGAUAAUAUAUUGAACCGCAUGGUUCAAUAGUGAAAGACGGUUUUGCUGUCACUUAUAGAUGGAUCCGCGCCGCAUUAGCUAGUUGGUAAGGUAACGGCUUACCAAGGCAACGAUGCGUAGCCGACCUGAGAGGGUGAUCGGCCACACUGGAACUGAGACACGGUCCAGACUCCUACGGGAGGCAGCAGUAGGGAAUCUUCCGCAAUGGGCGAAAGCCUGACGGAGCAACGCCGCGUGAGUGAUGAAGGUCUUCGGAUCGUAAAACUCUGUUAUUAGGGAAGAACAAAUGUGUAAGUAACUAUGCACGUCUUGACGGUACCUAAUCAGAAAGCCACGGCUAACUACGUG